CCGCUCAAGGGGGGGAAGUCUAACACAUGCAGUCGAGCGGUAGCACAGAGAGCUUGCUCUCGGGUGACGAGCGGCGGACGGGUGAGUAAUGUCUGGGAAACUGCCUGAUGGAGGGGGAUAACUACUGGAAACGGUAGCUAAUACCGCAUAACGUCGCAAGACCAAAGUGGGGGACCUUCGGGCCUCAUGCCAUCAGAUGUGCCCAGAUGGGAUUAGCUAGUAGGUGGGGUAACGGCUCACCUAGGCGACGAUCCCUAGCUGGUCUGAGAGGAUGACCAGCCACACUGGAACUGAGACACGGUCCAGACUCCUACGGGAGGCAGCAGUGGGGAAUAUUGCACAAUGGGCGCAAGCCUGAUGCAGCCAUGCCGCGUGUGUGAAGAAGGCCUUCGGGUUGUAAAGCACUUUCAGCGGGGAGGAAGGCGUUAAGGUUAAUAACCUUGGCGAUUGACGUUACCCGCAGAAGAAGCACCGGCUAACUCCGUGCCAGCAGCCGCGGUAAUACGGAGGGUGCAAGCGUUAAUCGGAAUUACUGGGCGUAAAGCGCACGCAGGCGGUCUGUCAAGUCGGAUGUGAAAUCCCCGGGCUCAACCUGGGAACUGCAUUCGAAACUGGCAGGCUAGAGUCUUGUAGAGGGGGGUAGAAUUCCAGGUGUAGCGGUGAAAUGCGUAGAGAUCUGGAGGAAUACCGGUGGCGAAGGCGGCCCCCUGGACAAAGACUGACGCUCAGGUGCGAAAGCGUGGGGAGCAAACAGGAUUAGAUACCCUGGUAGUCCACGCCGUAAACGAUGUCGAUUUGGAGGUUGUGCCCUUGAGGCGUGUCUUCCGGAGCUAACGCGUUAAAUCGACCGCCUGGGGAGUACGGCCGCAAGGUUAAAACUCAAUGAAUUGACGGGGGCCCGCACAAGCGGUGAGCAUGGAUUUAAUUCGAUGCAACGCGAGAACCUUACCUGGUC
rnacentral:rRNA from 1 species